AUUGGUUCCUUUGGUCUUUUCUGAACAUCCAAUCCCAAGGACUUGAGGACACCAACAAAUUCAGUGUCCAACUCUUUCUUCAAUUCCAAAAUUUUACCCUUCAGGCUGUCAUCCAAAUCAUCAAGGUUGGACACCCCGGCAUUUUCAAUCUCUGCCCUAAGUGUAGCAGUUUUUUCCUUAACAUCUGGCCGUUCCAUGAUCUCGUUAAAUUUACUGUUAACUUCCUGCUUCAAUGUAGCAGCCCUGUUGUUCUUCUCCUCGUAUUUAUAUGCUUUUGAUAAUUCCUUCAGCAUGUCAAGUUUAUACUUCAAGUCUUCAUAAUUAGGAGCAGAUGACAGGCUCUGGGUAAAUUCAUGCCUAAGCUUUUGAAUCUUUUCUUUCAGAGCUGGAUGCAUGAGUUGGUCCUGUGAACUUACUUUCGAAAAUUCUUCCUGCAAU
rnacentral:lncRNA from 1 species